rnacentral:rRNA from 1 species
UGGGGAAUAUUGCACAAUGGGGGAAACCCUGAUGCAGCGACGCAGCGUGCGGGAUGACGGCCUUCGGGUUGUAAACCGCUUCCAGCAGGGAAGAAGCGAAAGUGACGGUACCUGCAGAAGAAGUACCGGCUAACUACGUGCCAGCAGCCGCGGUAAUACGUAGGGUACGAGCGUUGUCCGGAAUUAUUGGGCGUAAAGAGCUCGUAGGUGGUUGGUCACGUCUGCUGUGGAAACGCAACGCUUAACGUUGCGCGUGCAGUGGGUACGGGCUGACUAGAGUGCAGUAGGGGAGUCUGGAAUUCCUGGUGUAGCGGUGAAAUGCGCAGAUAUCAGGAGGAACACCGGUGGCGAAGGCGGGACUCUGGGCUGUAACUGACACUGAGGAGCGAAAGCAUGGGGAGCGAACAGGAUUAGAUACCCUGGUAGUCCAUGCCGUAAACGUUGGGCACUAGGUGUGGGGGACAUUCCACGUUCUCCGCGCCGUAGCUAACGCAUUAAGUGCCCCGCCUGGGGAGUACGGUCGCAAGGCUA